UUUAUACUCCCUCCAUCCGAAAAUACUUGUCUUCAAAAUGAAUAAAAAGAGAUGCAUCUAGAACUAAAAUACGUCUAGAUAAAUCCUUUUUUAUUCAUUUUGAUGACUAGUAUUUUCGAACAGAGAGAAUACUAA
rfam:Triticum aestivum genome assembly, contig: Triticum_aestivum_CS42_TGACv1_scaffold_515191_6BS